GCGAAGACCUGGAGAAGCAGAUUGGCAGCCUGGAGUCGAAGCUGGAGCAUCUCACCGCCAGCUUCAACUCCCUGCCGCUGCUCAUCGCCGACACCCUGCGCCAGCAGCAGCAGCAGCUCCUGUCUGCCAUCAUCGAGGCCCGGGGUGUCAGCGUGGCAGUGGGCACCACCCACACCCCAAUCUCCGAUAGCCCCAUUGGGGUGCCUCUACUUGGGAGCGGGAAGAGGAGAUGACAGGAAGCGACGCCUCUGGCAGGGCCCUUGCUGCAGAGUUGGUGGAGAACAGAAAUCCACGCUCAAUCUCAGGUGCCAAGUGCCCUGUGACAGUUGUUUACACACCUGAAAAAUGUAUCCUGGAAGCUGUAAUCUUGGGCCUGGGCUAUGUGUUGAAACAAGCAAAAGAGACAUCGUGACCAACCAAGCUGGUGGAGGAAAAGCACAAAAUUCAACUCCAACCUGCAGUUAGGAUCCCAAAGAGAUGUUGACAUUUAUAGCCAAAAAGAAAAAGU
rnacentral:sRNA from 1 species